GAUGAAGAACGUAGCGAAAUGCGAUAAGUAAUGUGAAUUGCAGAAUUCAGUGAAUCAUCGAAUCUUUGAACGCACAUUGCGCCCGCCAGUAUUCUGGCGGGCAUGCCUGUUCGAGCGUCAUUUCAACCAUCAAGCCCCCGGCUUGUGAUGGGGACCUGCGGCUGCCGCAGGCCCUGAAAAGCAGUGGCGGGCUCGCUGUCACACCGAGCGUAGUAGCAUACAUCUCGCUCUGGGCGUGCUGCGGGUUCCGGCCGUUAAACCACCUUCAUAACCCAAGGUUGACCUCGGAUCAGGUAGGAAGACCCGCUGAACUUAAGCAUAACAAUAAGCGGAGGA
rnacentral:misc_RNA from 1 species